GACUUUUUAAGGAAAAGUUACUUUAAAUAAUUUAAUAUAAUUGAAAACUGUCGAAUAACGAAGUUUAUUUAAUAUUCGAUCAUUUCUAAGGAUAUAAAUUAAAUAAUACUGAUUCGAAUAUCAAAAUAAUCAAUUGACAGUAAGAUGGAAGGGAAAUUAAAAGAUGCAAUCUGAAAUAUUGAAAUGAUAAAAAAAUAUUCCAGAUAUUAUAACGUUACCGAAGUAAAUUCAAUACUACUGAAUGAAGUUUGCAUUAUAGUAAUAUUAUGGACGGUUAUCCAGAAAAAUCCUGCAUGCGGAAUGGCGCGAUAUUCAAAACGCGAUAGCGCAGAAGUUGAAGCACUUUAUAACUUUGUUACCUUGAUCUGCUAGUUAUAACUUCCAAGUCGCCAAACCUAACGGCGUUCUCGAUAAGGCUUGAAAACGCAUGAAGAUUGCCGAGCAUCCGUUUUCGAGUUACGAAUGUUCAUCGUAGAAGAUAAUAUGCUUGCACGCAGCCGCGUAACAAAAUUAUUAAUAAUAUUAUAAAGUUGAAGAUUUAUAAAAAAUGUAUAUUCAAGAAUGCUUCAAGAAUAAUCUGAUUUAUCAGAGUAAAUCAUAUAUGUAUUAGGAACAAAAGAAGUACUUGGCAUAAUAAUAUUUUUAUUGAUCCAACAAAUUUUAGAUAGAUUAAUAUUCAAUAUAGGUAAAAGCAUCCAUUAUUCAGUUUAUAUGGUAUAAAAAUCUCAAAGUUGAUCAAAUCUUCAUAUAACACAAAUUGUAUUAACAGAUACACUGUGAAUAAACAAUAAACAACUACACAGGAAGAAUAUUACUUAAAAUGUAAAACACUCGUACAACACGUAUCAACACAAAACAUUUGACAAUUACAAAGCAGGGUUUCCCAAACUAUGUUCCUAAACCUAACCUAAAUAGGUGUUUCGCGAUAAUUUGGAAAGUUUUGUAUUUAAAAAUAAUUACUAAAUAAAUAAUGUGUUUUAGUAA